AUUGAACGCUGGCGGCAGGCCUAACACAUGCAAGUCGAACGAGUGGCGGACGGGUGAGUAAUGUCUGGGAAACUGCCUGAUGGAGGGGGAUAACUACUGGAAACGGUAGCUAAUACCGCAUACCAUCGGAUGUGCCCAGAUGGGAUUAGCUAGUAGGUGGGGUAAAGGCUCACCUAGGCGACGAUCCCUAGCUGGUCUGAGAGGAUGACCAGCCCCACUGGAACUGAAACACGGUCCAGACUCCUGCGGGGGGCAGCAGUGGGGAAUAUUGCCCAAUGGGGGAAAGCCUGAUGCAGCCAUGCCGCGUGUAUGAAGAAGGCCUUCGGGUUGUAAAGUACUUUCAGCGGGGGGGCGUUACCCGCAGAAGAAGCACCGGCUAACUCCGUGCCAGCCGCCGCGGUAAUAC
rnacentral:rRNA from 1 species